ACACGUUCUCAGGGCGGGGUGUAAUUCCCCACCGGCGGUAAUGCUGCGCAACGCAGCUAGCCCGCGAGCGCCCGGUACGGCACCAGCCGCCCGGGGACGAGCAGAUCCGGUGUGAUUCCGGAGCCGACGGUAUAGUCCGGAUGAAGAGAGAGCGGGA
rnacentral:ncRNA from 2 species